rnacentral:rRNA from 1 species
GAUGAACGCUGGCGGCGUGCCUAAUACAUGCAAGUCGAGCGAACAGACGAGGAGCUUGCUCCUCUGCCGUUAGCGGCGGACGGGCGAGUAACACGUGGAUCACCUACCUCUAUGACUGGGAUAACUUCGGGAAACCGGAGCUAAUACCGGAUAAUAUAUUGAACCGCAUGGUUCAAUAGUGAAAGACGGUUUUGCUGUCACUUAUAGAUGGAUCCGCGCCGGAUUAGCUAGUUGGUAAGGUAACGGCUUACCAAGGCAACGAUGCGUAGCCGAGCUGAGAGGGUGAUCGGCCACACUGGAACUGAGACACGGUCCAGACUCCUACGGGAGGCAGCAGUAGGGAAUCUUCCGCAAUGGGCGAAAGCCUGACGCAGCAACGCCGCGUGAGUGAUGAAGGUCUUCGGAUCGUAAAACUCUGUUAUUAGGGAAGAACAGAUGUGGAAGUAACUAUGCACGUCUUGACGGUACCUAAUCAAAAAGCAACGGCUAACUACGUG